GAGAAAGCUGAGCUGCUCUGCAGUCCAGAGCAUGGGGAGUCUGGGAGGAAGUCUGGUGAUGAAGAGGGGCAGGAAAACAGAGACGUGGCCAACUAGAGGAGGCUCCUCAGAGGCUGCUGGGAUGAGGAGUGACAAAAGACCUGCAGCAGUGGCAAGCUAAGUGAGAAGGGAUAAAUGUCCCAUGGAAGUCACUUGGUAUGGUAAUGGCAAAAGAUCUCUGAAUGCAACAAGGUUUAGUGCUCAUUCUUAAGAAGUUUUGUGUAUUGUCCUAGAUAUUGAACAUUGCUGCUGCUCCCAAAACAUUCCUACUAACAAACAUCUUACGUAUGGACUGUUUGAGGUAUUGAGAUAAAAGAGAAUGACUUCUGUUUUGAGGACUGUGUGAGGAGUAGAGAAGAGACCAGGUGCCUUGAGAAAUACAGAAGGGAGAUGAGAAGGAAGGAGGCCUGAGUUUCUCAAACCCUGCACAUUCCCCAGAAAUGACUAUUUUCAGGACUGACCGUUGGCUAGUUCUUGGGAAGCAAAUGCUGAGUUUUGGAAUGUUCUGCCUGGGAAGAGUGUUUUUGUACGGCUGAGGCCUUACGCCACAUGGCACCGGUUGAACAGCUUGUUAAUGCUAGCAAUGUGAUUUAUGUUGAAUGCCUAAUUCUGCUCUGGAGAACUGGAAUCUGAGUAUCUGAGUUCAGCCAUAUAAAUGCUUCAGGUCUGCAGGACUGGCUCCCAACAAGAACCCUGGACACAAAGGCUCAGGUGAGCUUCCUAGACACCAAUACUCAGGUGAGCUGUAUGGAAACUAACGCUCAGGUGAGCUUCCUGGACUCCAAGGCCCAGGUGGGCUUUCCUGGACUCCAAGGUGCAGGUGAGCUUCCUGGGCUCCAAGGCCAGGUGAUGUUCCUGGACACUUAGGCUCAGGAAAAGCAGUUGAAAUACCAUUAGUUAACAGAUUGCCCAAUGAAGUCGAUGACAACUGUGAUAACAAGUUACUCACUAUCACAGCGUCUCCAAGAGAUGAACAGUGGAUGAUGCUUCCAAAGCACAGAUGUCCCUCUCCUCCUCAACCUUCUCUCCCCAGAAAGAUGUCAACACUGUGGAGAUUGUGCUAUGAAGAUACCUGGUGUGGCAUUGCAAUAGAUGAAAUAUUAAGGGCAAUUCAACAAUUUUCUGAACAAAUACAUGGAUUUAACUUGAAGUUGAAUUUAAUUUGACUUCAAGAAAAAUUAUAUUUCUGGUCCUCCUAUGAUCAUGCACUAAGAAUUAUUUAACUGCAGAUACAAUUGUUACCUUUAGAGCUAGAAGGCCUCAUUUUAGAAUUAAAAUGAAUGGCAACCCAGACAGAUAAAGUCGAGUCGUGAUCAUCCCACUGCGGAGGCAGAGCCAGUGCUGGCCAUCCCCCGACCACCCCAACACACUCCAGGUCUCACACAUUUAAUCUCUCUCUCUGCCAAGGGAAUUUUUUCUUUCCAUUUAUUCUUAGAAACAACUAAGGGAGUUUUAAGUUAAAUACAUGCUGCCAAAUUGAAUCCAAGGAAACUAAAGUCAAAUAUAUUAGCAAACACUUAAUGUCCUCUCCAUUUUGACAUUUCUCCCUCAAUUCCUAUUUCUGAGUAAAGGCUGUUCAGAUGAAUAAAAACAUAUUUUCAGAAAUCUGAGCUCAUAAGACCUAUAGGUCUGUGAAGUCACAGACCGUGCACUGUCAGCAGUCAGCAAUUCUGCUGGGUUGAAUUGGCAUGUUUCAAACUAUGUAUUUUUGUUAAAAAAAAAAAAAAAGGUGUGUAAAUGCAUUUACAAAAUAGUUUGUACUCUUUCCCAGUAAUUCAUAGUUGCCUUCACAGCACCCAGUUCCGGAUUUCACACCAAGCCUUUGCUGAGGAUAUGAGAGUAAUAAAAAGGGGAGCCCUGGUUCUUCCUCUCCUUUAGUGUCUUUCCUGGAAGUGGACUGCGAGAAGAGCUUCUUCAGCCACCUUCUGCCUGCAGACAACCUCCAUGAGUUUGCUUUAGAAGAAGGCUUCAAUUUGAAGAAAGUCAAAUAAAACAAGGUAGACUAUCAUUCCCAUAGAUGCAAAAGAAGGUGAACCCAGAUUCAGAUCCUAAGUCAGCCAUUCUGCAGGGAACUCUUAGGUGUCCAGGUCAGAGGCUCUACUCAAACUGCCUCAUCAAUAUUGAUUCCUCAGUUGUUGCAAAUAUACCACACUCAUGCACGUUGUUAAUAAUAAAAGGGGAACUGUAGAGGACGGGGUGGUGUAUAUGAGAACUCUGUACUUUCUGUGUAAUUUUUCUAUAAACCUAAAAUAGCUCUAAAAAUAAAGUUUAUUCAGAAACAAAAAAAUUAAUCAUCUAUCCUGAG
rnacentral:lncRNA from 10 species